rnacentral:rRNA from 1 species
GACGAGGGAUCCUAGCGUUGUUCGGAAUUAUUGGGCGUAAAGCGGGUGUAGGCGGGCUUAUAAGUCAGGUGUGAAAUCCCAGGGCUCAACCCUGGAAGUGCACUUGAUACUGUAAGUCUUGAAUGUGGUAGAGGUUACUGGAAUUCCUGGUGUAGUGGUGAAAUACGUAGAUAUCAGGAGGAACACCUGUGGUGUAGACAGCUUACUGGACCAUUUCUGACGCUGAGACACGAAAGCGUGGGUAGCAAACAGG